GUUCGGAGAGUUCUUCCCGCUUCAAUUUGCUUGUGAGGUUGUUCAGUCGUCGUAAGCUACCUUUCUCGUUAUUUGGAAGGUUAGGAUGGUUGCCUUUCCAUGGUAGACCAGUCUCGUACCAACCUUGCUCAUUCCUCACGAGUUGCUCUCUAAACUCUGCGUACACACUUGCUUGGUCAUGUUCUGGACGAUCUUCCAGGCCCAGCACGUCGAGACGACAAAGUUGUUCAUAAUCGGUUUGGUUGGAUUGGGCGAUUAGUAACGCGGUAUAGUCUAUCUCUGUUCCUUUCGUGAUGAUUGUCCAUCCAAACUUCGUUUUUUCUGCGACACGUUCCCCGGUUUUGCCUACACGAGAUGGCUGGUCAGUUUUUAUGCACAGAUAGUCGCUUGCUCCGAGAAUGAGAUGGAUUGGAAGCUUGGGCUUUUGGUCCUUGUCAUCCAUGGUCACGCCUUCGAGAUGUGGAUACUUGGCGAUUAGUUGUUGG